UAACUUAAAAGUAAUUGAGAAAAAGUAACUUAUCCAAACAUAUUUGGAAACAAAAUGUUAAAAAGUGUAAUUUCACCAAAUAUGGUAGAUAGCACUGAUUUUCAUCUUUAAAUUUGUUUCAGGAUAAUGAUGCUGUCUAGAAAGCUAACAGAUAUGGAUGAACAACUCUCGUGUGACCCUUUGUACUUGGGAAAGGCUGGAAGAGAGCGACAGAGAUUCGACUUUGAUGAUUUUGACACGGUUCCUUCCAAAUUCACAGUAUGAAAAAUUGGAUUAUGGCAGAUGGAUGCUAAUCUCCAUGGAUUUUGACUAGAAGAAACUAUUUCUGUAUCCUUUUGUUUUGGAAGAGGGUCGAGUAUGUCACCUUUGUGUUUUGGUCCAAUCUCAUCACAAAUCAUGCCUUUAUACAGAAAAAAAGACUGUUUAUAAAGUCGUUAAGGGCAUGUUCGAUAAAUAGUGCUGGACGUGACUAGACAUUACAGUUGAUUUCAACCUAUAUUUCUUUCUUAAUAUCGUUUGAUCUGAUUAUUCAAGUUUCAUACAUGAAAUGUGAGCUUUUCCAUA